UGACGCAGUGACGCUGACGCCACACACCACAGAAAACCGCCAACAUGUUUCUGAUUAAUCUGUUGUUGAGACACAGAUGCAAAAUGUAUUAUCGUUAUGGUUUUUUUGGGAUUCGACAUUUUCCCGCAUUUUCCAUCAUGAAUAUUCAUAAGGUCUGACAGCCAGAAAUCUGUAUUCCUUCAUUGCUGUUAAGCAUGCACAUGUUAUGUUGCAGCCAGCUGGAAUAAGGUGUGAAGAAGGUUAGUUUUUCCUGCAUCAAUCAUUGAUAGUCCAAGUAGUGACCAGUAAUUACCAAGGAUUUAGAAAAGGUAGUGAUUGUGGAUUGAUGCAGAAUAGUCCAUUAUCUUUAGUUUGAUCGACUCGUUAUUGUGUUACCUUUUAGUUAUUAAUUUUUCCAUAAGAAGCUCGCAAAUGAAAGUGGCGAUGAAAAUAUAGCAGCGAAAAGAUGCAAAGUAAAUGUGAAAGGAAGAAAAGAGGCAAAAAAAAAAAAAAAAGCGUAAAUGUAGGAUUCUAGUAUAUCAGCAAUUACCAACGUUUCUUGCAAGGGUAUUAUUAACUAAGAAAUCGUCUUCCGCCCAACUCUUGACCUUGUUAGCAGAACCAGGUUGUUAGUCAUUGCUUUUGUCCUCAAUCACCAUCUUGAUGUAUAUAGGGCAGGAUGAGUGAUCAUUUGGCAGUGCUUGUCAAUCAAUGCAAAUCAUUACGGAAUCGGCAGUCCUACCGCGUUCUGCAGAUCUGUCCCGAUUGCGGAUCAGUAAAAUUCAGAGUUUCAGACAUAGGGAGUUGUGCCGUUUACCUUUCUUUCGCCCAAGUUGUGGCUUAGUCCUACAUUUCUUCGACGUUUUGGAUGCGAGAAUGUUUUCCGCUUUUUUUUUUUUUCUAUGGCACUUGUACCGACUUUUUAAAGUGCCAUCUGGUAGUUUGGAUACCCACAGGCCACAGAUGCUGACGGAUGCUACUGACGAGAAAUUGUUAACUGAGCUACCACGCAUACAAAGCUGAAACUUGUCAGAUGUCCUAACUAUUUAUAUUUGUUCGUCAAGGGUGUUGUUAAAGGGUUGUUUUCCUGAAAGAGAGAAAAGAAGAAAAUUACAAUUUCAACUGAAUCAUUGUUCACAUUUUCGGUGGUGGAGAAUCACAUGUAAUGUCUAAUGUCAUCACAAUGUAACGGAAAUCCCUCCUCCCCCAAGGAGAAGAGAAUAAAGCGGGAAUAAAGCUGAAUUUUGGUAAGACAAGAAUGUCUGAAGAUCCUUACAUUUGCAAAUUCAGGGAAGAGAAAGAGAACCAUAAUAAAGCAGUCUCUGAGAUGGAUACAAGUAUUGUCGCUUACGAUGGAACGGUGCGCGGCUCCAACGGACUUGCACUAGAGUCCUUUUUACAGAAUGGUGUGACAGGCCAAUUGCAGUUGUGUCUGUAGAAGAAUAGGAGACUUUCUCAGGCACGAGUGGCUGCAACGUCUCUAGUUUGAACUACAAAGUAGUCAGUGGGAAUGUUGGCUGACCAUUUCUAGAUUCCGUUGUGUUAAAAGGGAGGAUGUAAAGGGCGGAACAUCUGGUCCUUGAUAAAGUGGGCCCAGUCUACUAAUGUUGUGCACCACAACGAAAAUCAAACGUGCUUUUGUUGCACCGGAAUCUGGUGAUGGCGACAUCUUUAUAAAAAGCAUCGGUGUUAGCAUUGAGACCAUGCUCGAGAUCGCUGAAAUUCUGGAUUUCAACCGCCGUCACUCGAACGAUAUUUAAGAUGUGAAAAAAUACCAUCGCAUCGAAGGUGCCUCAAGUGUAAUCGUCAAGGAGAUGAGAAACGUGUCUAAAGUUGGAAUCACCGUUGAUGUUAGCCACCGAGCUUUUUGGCCAAAUUCGUGACAUCAAGCAAAAGUUACCGGCCAUUCACUCGUUAUGGAAUGGGCGCUGUACUUCCCCAUUGUAAAAAAAAAUUCACGCACGCACUCUACGUAACACCAACUUGAUAUUCUUCACGUCAAGAGCGGGUCCGUUCGUUACGCCGUCCAACCCCUCCUCCCCCCCCCCCCCCAACGUCAUCUUCGCUCUGCAGGCCAUCGAUAUCACCGCUGUUAACCACAACGAGUUCUUUUCUAUUAUUCUACCCAUGAUCCUCAAUGCUUUCGCUGCCGUCUCCAAAUUGUUCAGCGUUCAACCCAAUUUCUUCGAGCUUCACAGCUGAUCGCUGGCGUCAUUUGGGAAUGUAAUCAAGAAGUUUAACUUCAUGAUGACCAUCUUCCACAACUACGCUGAUUCCAGGAAUCCUUGCAUCAAGUCUCAAACAACUGCACUUAUUGCGUCGCGUCGCCCACAUCAAGACCGAGUCCUUCCGUUACCGCCUGGUGAUAAGUCUGGCCACCAUACCCUUGAAUUCAAUUACUUCUUGGUGACAUAUAGACAAAAGACCAUAAAGGUUGUUCCUCGCCAACAGUCUUUGUUCUCCCGUGCUGAUGGAAAUCUUCUUGCGCUCUCAAGGAGGAGGAUGACGUACCUUCACGUGGCCAUGAAGAAAUCGCUGGACUGGUGGAAGAAAAAGGAUUGAUCAAGAUGAUCUCACGGCUUGAAGUUGACCCACAGCAUGGUCAUGCUCGGCGGACAACACAUCAACUGGAGAGUCAACGAUGUCGAUGAUCACCGUCGGUGUCCGUAAACACUCCUGGAUUCGCUCUCCAUCAGUUGGCAUAUGGAUACGUUAACCAGCCUACUAAGCUCAGCACUCUUGCUCAAUGCCACCACUUCAGCUAGGUAAUAAAGUCAAAUCAAGGUAUAUUUAAUUUUUAUUUUGUUAAAACAGUGAAUCGCCCAUUAGUAGCGAC